AGCCCCUUGAGCCUCUCUAUAAGGGGUCAGGCCUGCCCAGUGGGAGAGACCCUCCUAAACGGCCGCGGUAUCUUGACCGUGCAAAGGUAGCAUAAUCACUUGUCUCUUAAAUGGGGACCCGUAUGAAUGGCUCUUCAUCCUCUACCUGUCUCCCUUUUCCCCCGCUCAAACUUCUAUUUACGUGAAGAAGCGUAAUUCAGAAAGAAAGACGAGAAGACCCUGUCGAGCUUCAGCCUACCCUGUAAACCAACCAUACUCCUCCUAGGAGAAAGCCCUUUUGCAGGUCAAGCUUUGGUUGGGGCAACCAUGGAGAAAAGACAUCCUCCAGUUCUAUAGGAAGAAAACUCCUCCCCUUUUUACCACCUAGAGAACCAAGAUUCUUGGGAAACGGAAAAAGUUACCGCAGGGAUAACAGCGUUAUCUUUUCUGAGAGCCCUUAUUGACGAAAAGGAUUGCGACCUCGAUGUUGGAUUGGGGUAACCAAAGGGUGCAGCAGCUCUUUUAGGUUGGACUGUUCGUCCAUUAAUUCCCUACAUGAUCUGAGUUCAGACCGACGUGAGUCAGGUCAGCUUCUAUCUUCUAUUUAUUCUUCCUAGUACGAAAGGACCGGAAAAAGGCCUUAAAUAGUUUUCACAAAAAGGCAAAAACAACAAAAAAAAAAAAAAAAAAAAAAAGAACCUCUACCAAAAAUACAAUGAGAUAAAACUUUUGAUAAAGUUUUCGUUCAUUACAUUUCUCAUACAAGGAACAAAGAGAAAAAAAACUACAAGGGUACCCCCUUUGGUUUUUUUCAGUUUUUAGAGUAAAUUGGAAAUUUUAACAGUUUCAAGACAAAUAGUCAUAUGAAAGUUUUCAAUUAAGAAAC
rnacentral:rRNA from 1 species